UACGUAGGGUGCAAGCGUUGUCCGGAAUUAUUGGGCGUAAAGAGCUCGUAGGCGGUCUGUUACGUCGGCUGUGAAAUCCCGAGGCUCAACCUCGGGACUGCAGUCGAUACGGGCAAACUAGAGUAUUGCAGGGGAGACUGGAAUUCCUGGUGUAGCGGUGAAAUGCGCAGAUAUCAGGAGGAACACCGGUGGCGAAGGCGGGUCUCUGGGCAAUAACUGACGCUGAGGAGCGAAAGCGUGGGGAGCGAACAGG
rnacentral:rRNA from 1 species